rnacentral:misc_RNA from 1 species
UUGUAAGAGAAAACCGCCGAAACACAUGAAAGCUCCGGUACGACGAAGUCGGACCCAUAUGCGAACGUUGUAAUGGCAUCAGAAACAGAGUUGCGUCUUAUGAGAAACGAUAAAGCUGCAUUCAGUGAAGAACCACACGCACCAGUACUGGAGCUAAUUAGUGCAAAUAGAAAUGAUGAAACACCAUUAAAUGAAAUGAUUCAUGAAUCAGAACCUGAAGUAUACAAUUCAAAGAUAAUGCAAAGAUAUGCAGUUUGUGAAAUGACAUGCGGUAGACGUAUAACAGUUAUGAAAGGAUCAUUAGUGAAUCUUAGAGUAGAUGUAAUGGUAAACACUACAGACAAGGCUCUUUCAUUAACAACAGGGCUUGCAGAGACCAUAAGUGAAAAAGGAGGAGAAAAGAUAAAAACUGAGUGUAAUAAAUAUUUUCAAAAGGAAGGAAGCAUAGAUGAGGGAGAAGCAUUUGUAAGCGAGGCUGGUAGUCUACCUGCUAAACAUGUGGUGCACGUGAAUAGCCCAACCAAGAGAGAAGGGACGGAAAAUGAGCACAGAUUACUCGGAUAAACAGUCAGGAAUGCAAUGAUGCAAGCAUCAGUUAAAAACGUCAAGACAAUAGCAUUGCCAGCAAUCAGUUGUGGAACUUCUGGAUUUACAUCGAAGAAGGCGACAGGACUGAUAGUGCGUGCAGUGAGAAACUUCUUUCGGGAGGACCAAUCGAGUAGUUUGGAGCAUGUAUACCUUGUAGACAUUACCCCACAAACUGCCAAAAGGUUUCAAGAAGCUUUGUGCCGUGAAUUCAAAGAUGACACGAAAUGUGUUGUAGAGGUGAUGAAAGAAUCCUAAUAACAAAAUAUAAAUCGCAGGUCAUCGGCUAUAUAACUAUAUGUUUCCUGUGCUAAUUAGAUGAAACUGAAAUAAUUAUUAUGUUAUCAUAAAAUAAAACACUUAAUGAAUGGCUUACUGGUCAUUAGUUAAAACGUCGGGUCGCGCGUAAUAAUUUUUAUUAUUGGCCGGCAAGCCAUUCGGACCGAGCGCCAGAUUUGAUUACUGUACUCGUCACAUAAUAAUAGUGUUAUAUAUUACAUGACUCGUUAUAUAAAUCACCGGUCUAUAUCUAAUACAUGUUUACUGAUCUAAUAAACUAAACAUUUAAAAAUAAAACUAUGAAAUUUGAUUUCUUAUGUCGUGUAAUGAAACACCUAUUAAAUGGCUCGACUGUCAAUAGUCAAAACUAUUGAUCUUCGGACCUCGGACCACAGCUUUUACUAUUGACAGUUUAGUCAUUCAGAAAGUGUAUGAUAUUUAGAAGACGGUGCAAUGAUUUCUUUGAGAAAUUUCGAUUUAGCUUCUACAAGGACCAGUUUUGUUAAUGCAUUCAUUAUUAGGGCGAACAUGCAUAUUGUUGCAGUUGUGCAUUUAUUAAUAUGAUGAAACAUGUAAAAUAUGUCACUAGGUCUCCAAUACUGCAUGAAAUAUACCCCCUUUUUACUGAUUAAUUUUCACUCUUUUUAUUACUAACGGAUUUAUUUCACGUUUUAUAAUAGUUAUCGCAAUUUUAUGAGACAUUACAUUUACUUAGAAUUUCGUGUUUCAGUUUAGGUGCACUUUCACUCUGUCUAUGCUUUUACUAAAUUGACCCGAUUCAAAACACUGCAUCAAUCACAUCAUGUGACAAAGGUUCAUUACUCUGACAAAUGUUCAGUGAGUUAUUCCCCUUUAUACUUAUACUUUCAUGUUAAAGGUUUAUUGCAUAUUAUCUCUGUAAUUACUAAAUGGAUUUUAUAUUUUACAUCAUCACCCACAUCAUGAAUGACGAGACACAUGAACUGUACAUGGCGUGGCAUUUUCAUUCUAUGAUGAAUGGAGUAAUAGGGGGCGCCAGUACCUUCCAAUUUUCUUAAUAUAACUUGCUUACUCAGUAAUGCGGGGAAUUUCUCAUUCCAUUGAUAGAAUUAGUUAUCUCAAAUAGGCCCAUUUUAAUUUCCAGCAUCGAAAUAAUAGAGCACCCUGUCCCCUUUAUUAGCCCCUGUACUGUUUGUUGGGUUGUUUAAUGAAAUUGAUAAAGAAAUUAAUUAUUCGCUACAAUUUGGUUAUAAGUAGAUUCAGCACACAUAAGUUAGAUACAUUGGAUGAGGGUUUUUUUAACAACUGAAGAAAAUAUCUAAAGUGAAAGAUGCGCACUGGCAAUUUUAAUGCUUAACUCAGCGUCGUAUAAUCCGCUUUUAAUUCUAGAAAAAAAGUCACUUUUGAACUGGACUUUAUUGAAGAACAGGAUGAGAGUUCUAUGGAAACAGGUCCAUGCGAUUGCAAAUAAAAUGAGUAUUUUGAAGUGAUCGUCUUUAAGCACAGAAGGCAAGUUACAUGAAAGUGUAAAAUUAAAUAGAUUCUUGAAAUACGCAGAAAGCAGACGUUUCGACGGAAUAAACUUGAGAGGAGCAUUUCCUGGGAAAGGGCCGCAAUGACCCCACAUGAAUAUGACAGACAGAGACCAAGUUCGUAUUGUUUAUUUUACUACAAUUAUGAUCAGUUAUAAUUCUUGUCAAUCUGGAUAAGACCUAGAAGAAAUUUUGGAUCGCUUAAACUUGUACUUCCCUGCUUCUUUUGGAUAUGAUAUGCAACGGGUUUAAACGUCCCAGCGCCACGGUGAUCAGUUUCGUCUUUUCGCUCUGGCAUCGCACGUUAUUUUAGCUUUUAAUUUGCAGCCUGCGCUAGCACAUCAAUACAAAGCUUAUCAAACUUUGAUUCAAAAUAGUAUACAUGUACAUGUAUUUGUACAUAGUACCCUGCAACUUCAACUUUCAUUAAUGUUGCCAAGGAUUAUUUCUUGAUGCCGAUAAAUCUGAAAUAUUAACCCCUUUCCUUUAGGUUGCUAAGACUGAAAUAUAGACCCCUUUCCUAGAAAUUGGUAAGACUGAAAAAAUCACACCUGGUAAGACUGAACUAUCAAGCCUCUUUCUUAUAUGUUGAUAAGCCUUAAAUCUCGAACCUUUUCUAGAUGUCGGUUAGACUCAAAUAUCAAUUUUUUUUUCUUCAUGUUGAUAAGACUGAAAUAUCGAACCCCUUUCCCGUACGUUGAUAAGUCUGAAAUAUCAAUCUCUUUCCUAUAAGUCUAUUAGACUCAAAUAUCAAGUCUUGUUGUCUUAAUGUUGAUAAGUCUGUAUUAACAAACCUCUUUCCUUAAUGUUGGUAAGACUGAAAUACCAACACAUCAGUUAAAAGAAAAUGCAUUUGAGCCGCGCCAUGAGAAAACCAACAUAGUGGCUUUGCGAUCCGCGCAGUCUGAUCAGGAUCCAUGUUGUUCGCUUUCAAAGCCUAUUGCUAUUAGAGAAACUGUUA